ACUCCUACGGGAGGCAGCAGUGGGGAAUAUUGGACACUGGGCGCAAGCCUGAUCCAGCCAUGCCGCGUGAGUGAUGAAGGCCCUAGGGUUGUAAAGCUCUUUCACCGGUGAAGAUAAUGACGGUAACCGGAGAAGAAGCCCCGGCUAACUUCGUGCCAGCAGCCGCGGUAAUACGAAGGGGGCUAGCGUUGUUCGGAUUUACUGGGCGUAAAGCGCACGUAGGCGGACUAUUAAGUCAGGGGUGAAAUCCCGGGGCUCAACCCCGGAACUGCCUUUGAUACUGGUAGUCUUGAGUUCGAGAGAGGUGAGUGGAAUUCCGAGUGUAGAGGUGAAAUUCGUAGAUAUUCGGAGGAACACCAGUGGCGAAGGCGGCUCACUGGCUCGAUACUGACGCUGAGGUGCGAAAGCGUGGGGAGCAAACAGGAUUAGAAACCCCUGUAGUCCC
rnacentral:rRNA from 1 species